rnacentral:misc_RNA from 1 species
AGGAGCACCACGGAAAAGGGUUGAGACACUGGGUCUUACCCGAGCCGUGAGGAACCGGUUGCCUGUAGUGGGCACGGUUUGGUGCACAACAAACGUUUUGCCCCAAGGGAUUUUGCGGUGAUGGGACUGCCAGACACACUAUUGGGCUUUUUUUGAACAGGCCCGUGCCCCUUUUUGGGGGGGUGUCCUCCGGUUGGGGGUGGCCGCGUGUUGUUGCCUCCCUUUGGGGGUGGGGUGGGGUGUUUUAUUUGUGGAUUGUGGUUGCCACCAUCUAACCCCCCGUGGGGGCGGGGGCCCUCCGGGGUGUGGCUCUUUUUUUGUUUUUGUGGUCAAUUUUUUUUUGAAACUUCUUUUUGGUUUUUUUG